rnacentral:rRNA from 1 species
AUUGAACGCUGGCGGCAGGCCUAACACAUGCAAGUCGAGCGAGCGGCGGACGGGUGCGUAAUGUAUGGGGAUCUGCCCGAUAGAGGGGGAUAACUACUGGAAACGGUGGCUAAUACCGCAUACUAUCGGAUGUGACAACAUGGGAUUAUCUAGUAGGGGGGGUAAAGGCUCACCUAGGCGCCGAUCCCUAGCUGGUCUGAGAGGAUGAUUAGCCACACUGGGACUGAGACACGGCCCAGACUCCUACGGGAGGCAGCAGUGGGGAAUAUUGCACAAUGGGCGCAAGCCUGAUGCAGCCAUGCCGCGUGUAUGAAGAAGGCCUUCGGGUUGUAAAGUACUUUCAGCGGGGAGGCGUUACCCGCAGAAGAAGCACCGGCUAACUCCGUGCCAGCAGCCGCGGUAAUUC